rnacentral:rRNA from 1 species
CCUACGGGAGGCAGCAGUGGGGAAUAUUGGACAAUGGGCGAAAGCCUGAUCCAGCCAUGCCGCGUGUGUGAAGAAGGCCUUCGGGCUGUAAAGCACUUUCAGUGGGGAAGAAAGCCUUGGGGCUAAUACCCUCGAGGAAGGACAUCACCCACAGAAGAAGCACCGGCUAACUCCGUGCCAGCAGCCGCGGUAAUACGGAGGGUGCGAGCGUUAAUCGGAAUUACUGGGCGUAAAGCGCGCGUAGGCGGUCUGAUAAGCCGGUUGUGAAAGCCCCGGGCUCAACCUGGGAACGGCAUCCGGAACUGUCAGGCUAGAGUGCAGGAGAGGAAGGUAGAAUUCCCGGUGUAGCGGUGAAAUGCGUAGAGAUCGGGAGGAAUACCAGUGGCGAAGGCGGCCUUCUGGACUGACACUGACGCUGAGGUGCGAAAGCGUGGGUAGCAAACAGGAUUAGAUACCCCGGUAGUC